ACGUUUGUCUUUGCUCCGUUAGGCGAGGGGGCGAGCGCUAUCUGUCAGGGCUAUCGCCUUUGGGGCCGCGCUAAGUGGUUUUGUUAAUGACUUUAACAAACAGGCAAGCCUACAAACCGGGAUGAUAGAAGUUAUCCAGUUCUCCCCAUCACACCCUGCUCGAGAAAGCGGGAUUAGGCUGAAUCCAAAGGCUUUACAAAUAUUGGGAGAAACUUCUCCCGUAUUUGUGGAGAUGCAACGAGAGACCGUCAGGCGACAGCAUUUCUAAAGGAAAAGACUUCUUUUUUUAAAAAUCCUUGGAUUUAGAAAUAAACUACAACUAUAAGGCAA